CGUAACGCGUAGACAAUCUGCCUAUCUCUGGGGGAUAGCCCGCCGAAAGGUGGAUUAAUACCGCAUAACACUGCAGGGUGGCAUCACCCAACAGUUAAAGAAUUUCGGAGAUAGAUGAGCCUGCGUGCCAUUAGCUAGUUGGUGCGGUAACGGCGCACCAAGGCGACGAUGUCUAGGGGAGCUGAGAGGCCGAUCCCCCACACUGGCACUGAGAUACGGGCCAG
rnacentral:rRNA from 1 species